CAGUUGGAAUGUGCAUUCCAACCACAACAAUUGUGUUACCUUUGAAUGGGAUAAAUUCAAACCUGCAAAACAACAGGACUCAAGCAUUUCGCCGAGCACUUCAUGUUUUCCCUUUGAAAAGAAUAAAUUUUUGUGAGGCUUGCUUUAGAUGAUGGUAUUCAAGUGCCACAGAAUUGAGGUUCAAUCCUUGACACUUAAUACCUUCAUCUAAACCAGCAUAACAAGAAUUUAAUAUUUUCAAAGGAGAAACAUGAGGUGCUCGCGAAAUGCUCGAGUCUUGUUGUUUGACAAGUUUGAAUUACCCCAUUCAAAGGAAGACAAUUGUUGUAGUUGGAAUGCACCUUACCCUAA
rnacentral:pre_miRNA from 1 species